rnacentral:rRNA from 1 species
AGAUUGAACGCUGGCGGCAGGCCUAACACAUGCAAGUCGAGCGGUAGAGAGGUGCUUGCACCUCUUGAGAGCGGCGGACGGGUGAGUAAUGCCUAGGAAUCUGCCUAGUGGUGGGGGAUAACGUUCGGAAACGGACGCUAAUACCGCAUACGUCCUACGGGAGAAAGCGGGGGACCUUCGGGCCUCGCGCCAUUAGAUGAGCCUAGGUCGGAUUAGCUAGUUGGUGAGGUAAUGGCUCACCAAGGCGACGAUCCGUAACUGGUCUGAGAGGAUGAUCAGUCACACUGGAACUGAGACACGGUCCAGACUCCGUACGGGAGCAGCAGGUGGGGGAAUAG